GAAUCCUAGUGGUGGAGGAUUCCCAUCCUCGGGGCGUGACCGUGGUGGUGCGUUUGCGCCUGUGGGGUUUUCCGCGUCGGCAAUUGGGUGGGAGAACCAGCAGUGAGAGGUGAAUUGCUCGCCGGCGUAGCUACUCCGCCGUGGAGCCGCAUCUCAUCAUCUCCUGGGGUCUCUGCAUCGAAAUCACAGACGAGCAAGCUACUGUGGAUCUUGAGGUUUAGCAGAUAGAAGUUGCUGAGCAGGAGCUCAUUGAAGGCAAGUUGUGCCCUUGAUCACUUAUUUUUACCCAGCCAUGUUCUUAUUAAUCAUAAUGAUCUGCUGUUGAGGGCCUUCUUCUCCCCAAAGGUGUUAUAAGCAAAAACACCUUCGGCAAGAUGAUAUGCAAGCAGGUACGACAUGAAGAUUUAUGUCGAAGCUACAAUUAAAAGAGCUUCGGCAUGGUGGCAUGCCUAAGACGAAGAAAGGCACCAACUUAAAGAGGAAAAGACCACAUAGUCCCUGAUAAUUUGUAUUAUGAUCAUAAUUAGUUAUCAAGGACAUGAAUGUAAUUUUGUCCGGGCUGCGUCCCGUGCCUAUAAAUAGAUGAACAGUACCCCCGUACUGUUCAUGCUGACUUGUAACCACUCACGUGUCACUCUUGCUUUUUCACCUUCUGUCAAGCCGAAGGUACAAAUGUAAUUUAAAUAUCAUUGAUAUUUGUUCAUGUUUAUAUAAUAAGAAUAUAAAUGGUCUAACGAUUUGAAAUG
rnacentral:lncRNA from 7 species